GCCAGGCACGGUGGCUCGUGCCUGUAAUCCCAGCACUUUGGGAGGCAGAGGUGGGUGGAUCACCUGAGGUCAGGAGUUUGAGACCAGCCUGACCAACGAGGUGAAACCCCAUCUCUA
rnacentral:SRP_RNA from 1 species